GCGAUUGCUGAGGAACGAAGCAAAGCAUGGUGUUCUUAUAGCGUAAAAAGAAAGAAAGAAAGAGAACAGCACAGUAAAGCCUGACUGCGGCAGAGCUGAUGGAUUUUGUGUCUCUGUUUCUCCCUUUUUUCGUUGUAAAGCUUGUUGUCAAAUUAAAAUACUCAAACUGCUUCAUCAUUAGAAGUCUCUUCCAAGCCACCACCAUUAAUAAUUAAGCCCUUUGUGCCAGAAAAGAGAAACCCAUUAAUUUUUCCACUCUAUUUAUCCAAAACCAUGCAAUGUGAAUCAAAACAUAGCCGCUUUCAGUUUCAGCUCUCCUUUGAACCGUAAAAACUAAUCUGUAUUGCGGAUUGCUGGUUUUUUUUGUAACUAUGUUGGGCCUAGUCUCUGCAAAAACCACACCAAAUGCCACACCACAACAUGUUUCCUUUCCUCAAAACGACAAUUGCAUCCAUAAAAACGGCUAUGAAACUCCAUCUCCGCUACUAAAACGAACCCCAUCACCCUCCUUCUCCAAACCAAAAAUCAACCCUCCUAACAAGACACUGCAAGAACUACGCACCCAUGAGUCGUCUCUUGAUAACCCGGAUCUGGGUCCCUUUUUAUUAAAGCUUGCCAUAGACACCGUAGCUUCUGGUGAUAACCAGAAUAAGGCCUUGGAUUAUGCGGCCCGUGCGUCCAUAUCGUUUGAGAAAUCCUCGGGUCCCAGUCUGGACCUGGCUAUGAGCUUGCAAGUUGAAGCAGCGAUCUAUUGCAGCAUGGGCCGGUUGGAGGAUGCAAUUCCGGUUCUAGAACGGUCUAUUGAGGCUCUGGAUCAUAAAAACGGGUCGGAUCAUGCGGUGGCGAAGUUUUCCGGGUUCAUGCAGCUUGGUGACACGUAUUCUAUGCUGGGGCGAGUAGACCGUUCCAUAUCGUCUUAUGAGUCGGGUUUAAAGAUCCAAACUGAGACUCUCGGGGAUUUGGAUCCAAGUGUUACUGAGACUUGCAGGUACUUAGCCGAGGCUUAUGUUCAAGCAAUGCAGUUUGACGAGGCAGAAAAACUAUGCCAAAGGAGCCUUGAAAUUCACAGGGUGCAUAAUGCCCCAGCAUCACUUGAAGAGGCUGGUGAUCGCCGGCUUAUGGCUCUUAUUUAUGAAGCAAAGGGGGACUAUGAAUCUGCACUUGAGCACCUUGUCCUUGCUAGCAUGGUAAUGAUUGCUGCUGGUCAGGAAAAUGAAGUUGCUGCCAUUGAUGUUAGCAUUGGCAAUAUCUAUGCGUCCCUUUGUCGAUUUGAUGAAGCCAUUUUUUCCUAUCAAAAAGCCUUAACAGUCUUUAAAUCCAUAAGAGGAGAUGAUCACUGUACCAUUGCAUCAGUCUAUAUUCGCUUGGCAGAUGUGUAUUGUAAGACAGGCAAGCUAAGAGAAUCCAAAUCAUAUUGUGAGAAUGCCCUGAGAAUACUUUCAAAGCCAGUGCCUGGAAUUGCAACCGAGGAGAUUGCUAGUGGGCUGACUGAAAUCUCAGCCAUCUAUCAAGCUUUAAAUGAGCACGAGGAGGCGUUGAAGCUCUUGGACAUGGCAAUGAAGUUGUUGAAGGAUACCCCAGGGCAACAUAGCAUGAUUGCGGGAAUAGAAGCACAUAUGGGGGUGAUGUUUUACAAGGUUGGAAGGUACGGUGAGGCUCGAAGUUCCUUUAAAAAUGCUGUAGCAAAGCUCCGGGCUAGUGGGAAGACUAGAUCAGUCUUCUUUGGGAUUGUGUUGAACCAGAUGGGAUUGGCCAGUGCACAACUGUACAGGAUAGAUGAGGCAGCUCAGUUGUUUCAAGAAGCAAGGGAGAUUUUAGAGCAGGAAUGUGGCUCAUGUCACUUGGAUACGAUUGGAGUGUAUAGCAACCUUGCAGCAACUUAUGAUGCUAUGGGAAGUCACUUAUUUGGCUUUAUCAUACCGUCGAACCAGGCGAAACUCUUCAUUUUCUACAAAGCAUGGCAAUCAUUUUGCAUAGGCUGGUUUUGACAAUUGGCAUGUAUAGUUUCCAAACGGGAUAACAUUCACCCUUUACUACUGGUUCACCGAAGGUGCCUACCAGGAAUAACGAUCCCCCCCCCCCCCCCCCCUCAAUAUCUACUCCAGAUGUUCUUAGAUUGUCUUGAAAUCCUCGUAUUUUGCUUGGUAAAAUCUUCAACCUGACUAUAUGGGACCUAUUUAUGAUUAUGGCAUUUUGCUUUGGCAUGUUUUGGAUUGGACCAUCUAUUCACUCAUCUUACAUGCUGGGUGAUAUUUGAAGCCAUAGUGUAUUCACUCAAUGUCAUGUGGCAUAAUGCAUUGCAAAAAGUCCGGCAAGUCCCUGAUGCAAGUUUCAGUGGGGUAGAAGAUGCAACUGUGAUAUUGGAGUACAUACUCAAGUUGAGAGAAGAAAAACUUGGAACAGCAAAUCCAGAAGUUGCCGAUGAGAAGGAAAGGCUAGCCAUGCUAUUGAAGGAAGCAGGGAGGGC